rnacentral:rRNA from 1 species
ACGCCGCUGGUAAACAUACCUUUUGGUUCGGAACAACACAGUGGAAACUUGUGCUAAUACCGGAUAAGCCCUUACGGGGAAAGAUUUAUCGCCGAAAGAUUGGCCCGCGUCUGAUUAGCUAGUUGGUGAGGUAAUGGCUCACCAAGGCGACGAUCAGUAGCUGGUCUGAGAGGAUGAUCAGCCACAUUGGGACUGAGACACGGCCCAAACUCCUACGGGAGGCAGCAGUGGGGAAUAUUGGACAAUGGGCGCAAGCCUGAUCCAGCCAUGCCGCGUGAGUGAUGAAGGCCCUAGGGUUGUAAAGCUCUUUUGUGCGGGAAGAUAAUGACGGUACCGCAAGAAUAAGCCCCGGCUAACUUCGUGCCAGCAGCCGCGGUAAUACGAAGGGGGCUAGCGUUGCUCGGAAUCACUGGGCGUAAAGGGUGCGUAGGCGGGUCUUUAAGUCAGGGGUGAAAUCCUGGAGCUCAACUCCAGAACUGCCUUUGAUACUGAGGAUCUUGAGUUCGGGAGAGGUGAGUGGAACUGCGAGUGUAGAGGUGAAAUUCGUAGAUAUUCGCAAGAACACCAGUGGCGAAGGCGGCUCACUGGCCCGAUACUGACGCUGAGGCACGAAAG